rnacentral:rRNA from 1 species
AUGGCCAAGUACUGGUGGAGCAGCUCCAUAGAUCGACGAUCUCUCCAUUGGAUAUCAUGGAAAGGACUCACAGUUCCAAAAUGCAAAGGUGGUAUGGGCUUUCGGGACUACCAUCUUUUUAACUUAGCAUUAUUGGGAAAGCAUGGUUGGAGGUUUAUGACAAAUCCAAAUUCCCUUUGUGCUAGAGUUAUGCAGGGGAGAUACUUCCCAGACACUGAUUUCAUGCAAGCCAAUGUACCCCAUUCUGCCUCGGCGAUUUGGCGUGCCAUAGUGGUUGGGCGUGAG